AUUGAACGCUAGCGGGAUGCCUUACACAUGCAAGUCGAACGGAGUGGCGAACGGGUGAGUAAUGUAUCGGAACGUGCCCAGUAGCGGGGGAUAACUACGCUAAAGCGUAGCUAAUACCGCAUACUAUUGGAGCGGCCUAUAUCGGAUUAGCUAGUUGGUGAGGUAAAGGCUCACCAAGGCGACGAUACAUAGCCGACCUGAGAGGGUGAUCGGCCACACUGGGACUGAGACACGGCACAGACUCCUACGGGAGGCAGCAGUGGGGAAUUUUGGACAAUGGGUGAAACCCUGAUCCAGCCAUCCCGCGUGUGCGAUGAAGGCCUUCGGGUUGUAAAGCACUUUUGGCAGGAAAGCGGUACCUGAAGAAUAAGCACCGGCUAACUACGUGCCAGCAGCCGCGAUAAUUC
rnacentral:rRNA from 1 species